AUAUAGGCCUCACUUAGAGGCCUUGCUAUGACCUGGGGAGGUUAGGCAUCCAUGGGUAGCGGUAGCUCCGACCCUCUUGGAGAGACGGCAACCAGAGACCGGGUUGUCAGACCCGGUUGGGAACGUCUC
ncrna:unclassified sequences LAGLIDADG-2 RNA